GCUGAUAGUACUGCUGCAGAAGACCUCAGC
rnacentral:piRNA from 1 species